GACGAACGCUGGCGGCGUGCUUAACACAUGCAAGUCGAGCGGUAAGGCCCUUUCGGGGGUACACGAGCGGCGAACGGGUGAGUAACACGUGGGUGACCUGCCCUUAGCUCUGGGAUAAGCCUGGGAAACUGGGUCUAAUACCGGAUAUGACUCCAUGACGCAUGUUGUGGGGUGGAAAGCCUUGUGCGGCUAGGGAUGGGCCCGCGGCCUAUCAGCUUGUUGGUGGGGUGANGGCCUACCAAGGCGACGACGGGUAGCCGGCCUGAGAGGGCGACCGGCCACACUGGGACUGAGACACGGCCCAGACUCCUACGGGAGGCAGCAGUGGGGAAUCUUGCGCAAUGGGCGAAAGCCUGACGCAGCGACGCCGCGUGAGGGAUGAUGGCCUGGUGUAAC
rnacentral:rRNA from 1 species